rnacentral:lncRNA from 1 species
AUAUUCUAAUGUCAGUCCAAAUAAACAGAUGCUAUAUUCGCUGUACAACGAGGUAAACCAGGAGGCCAGGUAAGGUAGCUUCACACGGUUGAUGAUUAAACUGAUGGAGAGCAGUAUCACAAAGGUAACACACUGUACCACAUCGGUAACAUUGUCUCAUAUGGAUAACAUACACGAUAACACGGGUAACAUUGUAUGACAAAGGGUAUAUUCUGCAUCAUAAUGGUGAUAGAUUGUAUGACAUAGGUAACAUUCUGUUACAUGGGUAACAUAUUCAUAUCAAAACCUUAACAUCCUAUAUCACAUGGGUGACAUAUUAAGUUACACACAUACCAUGGUGUUACCACAGGGUAAGGUCCUUUGACAUGGGUAGUACAUUGUAUCACAUGGGUAGUACAUUGUAUCACAUGGGUAGUACAUUGUAUCACAUGGGUAGUACAUUGUAUCACAUGGGUAGUACUGUAUCACAUGGGUAGUACAUUGUAUCUUAUGGGUAGUACAUUGUAUCACAUGGGUAGUACAUUGUAUCACAUGGGUAGUACAUUGUAUCACAUGGGUAGUACAUUGUAUCGUAGUACAUUGUAUCACAUGGGUAGUACAUUGUAUCACAUGGGUAGUACAUUGUAUCACAUGGGUAGUACAUUGUAUCACAUGGGUAGUACAUUGUAUCACAUGGGAAACAUGUUGUAUCACACAGGUAACAUAUUGUAUCAAAUCGGUAGCAUACUGUAAUACAGUGUGUCACAUGGAUAACCUUCUGACACGUGUCUGACAUUGUAUCAGUCCUAAUGUGUACAUAAACAUUUCUGUCUGGUGUGACACUGUAUGAGAUCAUGCAUGUACAAAUACGCUCUUGUCUGGUGUUAAUAUGUCAGUCAGUUCUUGUAUGUACAUGUACACAAACUGUCUAGUGUAACACUGUAGUAGACGGUCAAUGGAUGUACAUAUACACAACCUGUCUAGUGUUACACUGUAGUAGACGGUCAAUGGAUGUACAUAUACACAACCUGUCUAGUGUUGCACUGUAGUAGACGGUCAAUGGAUGUACAUAUACACAACCUGUCUAGUGUUACACUGUAGUAGACGGUCAAUGGAUAUACAUAUACACAACCUGUCUAGUGUUGCACUGUAGUAGACGGUCAAUGGAUGUACAUAUACACAGCCUGUCUAGUGUUACACUGUAGUAGACGGUCAAUGGAUGAACAUAUACACAACCUGUCUAGUGUUACACUGUAGUAGACGGUCAAUGGAUGUACUUUUACACUGUCAAUAUACCGGAACCAGUUCCACUUGCAUCCAGGCCAGAUAAUGCAGGACUUUUGCACAUUGCACAUGAUUCAUUUUGUCAAGAAGAAUUACAUAGUGACAAGCUAAACUUAGGAUUUUUCAGUUGCUUGCAAUGCUAGAUGUAACUUGGAACCAGUUUAAGGGGCGACAAGUCACCAUACAUCUGUUCAGACACAUGGCAGAGAUACACUAACUCAUGUUUAUAUGUUUUUGUUAUAUAUUUAUUACUUUACAAACCUUUAUGUGGAGAAUGAAUGUUCAUUAUGUAAUUAUGUAAAUGCUGAGAAAUGGAAGAUGUAUGAUUAUUCAAUUUUGAAAAAUAAAUUCCAAUUACAAUAUUAUUGAUCAGCAA